rnacentral:rRNA from 1 species
GCCUAGGAAUCUGCCUGGUAGUGGGGGACAACGUUUCGAAAGGAACGCUAAUACCGCAUACGUCCUACGGGAGAAAGCAGGGGACCUUCGGGCCUUGCGCUAUCAGAUGAGCCUAGGUCGGAUUAGCUAGUUGGUGAGGUAAUGGCUCACCAAGGCGACGAUCCGUAACUGGUCUGAGAGGAUGAUCAGUCACACUGGAACUGAGACACGGUCCAGACUCCUACGGGAGGCAGCAGUGGGGAAUAUUGGACAAUGGGCGAAAGCCUGAUCCAGCCAUGCCGCGUGUGUGAAGAAGGUCUUCGGAUUGUAAAGCACUUUAAGUUGGGAGGAAGGGCAGUAAGUUAAUACCUUGCUGCUUUGACGUUACCGACAGAAUAAGCACCGGCUAACUCUGUGCCAGCAGCCGCGGUAAUACAGAGGGUGCAAGCGUUAAUCGGAAUUACUGGGCGUAAAGCGCGCGUAGGUGGUUCGUUAAGUUGGAUGUGAAAGCCCCGGGCUCAACCUGGGAACUGCAUC